AGAACACGCAGGGACAAUGAAAGUCAUCAUAUUCGUUCUACUGUUUGCCGUCUUCCUACAGACGUGCUACGCAACAACUACUCCCACCGCCGCUGGAACUACAGCAAAAGCACCCAUCACCACAACAUCUGGUGCAGAGGGAAUGACGCCACAGACCGUGAUGAUGCUGAUUAUAGGAGCCGCUAUUUCGACUAUCGUGUUUUCGAAUUGAUCCUUUCUCCGUGAAGUGAGGAGAUUUAUGAAGUCCAGAUUGACGUCAAUGAAAUACCGCAUUCCCUGGGGCUAUGACUUGAUGACUCUGGACUGAUUCUCUCUUUAGGGCGGUUCUACAAAUGAAAUCGAGGAGGGGAUAGGGGCGAUCUGGGUUAAGUAAAACUAGUUUAAUAGCCAUAACUCAACAGAACACAAUUUGGUCAUUUGCAGUCAUCUGUGGAAUCUGACCAAGAUCGAAAGAGAGUGUGGCUACGUCUAACAGACCAAAAACAAUGUACAUACUUUAAAAAAGCUAAAGAUGCAUUGUACUUUCCGAUAAAACAAUGAUAAAGUUGAGAAUAUGAUAGAAAUAAAAUAACGAAUAUUAUGUAUGCUUUUGGAAAUUGAAUUGAACUGUACUAUCUUGAUUUAAAAAACAAAAUAAAUAAAUAAAUAAAUAAUAUAUAUAUAUAUAUAUAUAUAUAUAUAUAUAUAUAUAUAUAUAUAUAUAUAGACAGAAUAUGAUAGAACUAAUGAAGUAGUAUGAUAAGUGAUAUGUGUCCAUACCAUGCAGACACGCGUAUCCUUACGAAAUCCAUCAUCAGAGCUAGGAAAACAAAUUGAAUUGCUUGUCCAAAUCUCUCCUUCCCCAGUGUGUUAAUUUAAACGAUUCGUCCUUUGUGUUUGUACGCAUGUAAGUCGAUCUUUAUGAAUACAAUAUGUUUAAUGCUUUAACAACUGCAGCUUGCUCGUAAAUAAAACAACGAACUCGGUGACGUAUACACACGGGGUGUGUAUCUCCCUUGUUUCAGUCAAUAAAAUGUUGUGCACAUGCUAUUUUGUUUUUAAACAAAUAAAAUCAAUAUACUAAG